AUCAAUUAUUAUUAAACGACUGAAAAUGAAUACAUACAUAAUUAAGGCAUUAUUUCAGUGAAACCUCGUCAAGAAUAAGAAUUAUCAUUAAUACAUUAUGUUGUCGAAUUAUUCAAUAAACUUAUAAAUCUAAUUUGUUUGUUUUCUUUAACAAUCUGCCUCUCGAGCUAUAGCGAGGUUCCUCCUCCUGAACAUUUAAUGUUUGCAUGCAUGAUACUUCGGCUAAACCAUUCGACCUUGGGAAGUGCGGACUAGACAUGAUGUGUUCAAUAUCCCAAUCACUAAGAAAUUUCUGGAAUUCCUGACUAUUAUAAGGCGGACCUCCAUCGCUGACCAGUUGCAAUGGGAUACCAUCCCGGGAGAACAUUGACUUUAAAUGUUGAAUAACAGUUUGACUUCUAUGAUCUGUGUUUAACUGUGCAAUUUCUAUGUAAUUUGAAUAGUAGUCUACUACCAAUAGAUAUUUUUUACUAUUGUAGUCAAAUAAAUCUGUUGCCAACUUUUGCCAUGGUAGGCAAGGCUGGUCAUGUGACAAUAAA